rnacentral:rRNA from 1 species
UGCAAGUCGAACGAGAGGCCGUAGCAAUACGGUCGUACAGUGGCGAACGGGUGAGGAAGACGUGGGUAACCUACCCUCGAGUGGGGAAUAACCCGCCGAAAGGCGGGCUAAUACCGCGUACGCUUCUGUUCCUUCGGGGACGGAAGGAAAGCUGUGCCGUGGGCAUGGCGCUCAAGGAUGGGCUCACGCCCUAUCAGCUUGUUGGUAGGGUAACGGCCUACCAAGGCAACGACGGGUAGCUGGUCUGAGAGGACGAUCAGCCACACUGGCACUGCGACACGGGCCAGACUCCUACGGGAGGCAGCAGUGAGGAAUAUUGCGCAAUGGGCGAAAGCCUGACGCAGCGACGCCGCGUGGGGGAUGAAGGUCUUCGGAUUGUAAACCCCUUUCAGGAGGGAAGAUGGAACGGGCAACCGUUCGGACGGUACCUCCAGAAGCAGCCACGGCUAACUUCGUGCCAGCAGCCGCGGUAAUACGAAGGUGGCAAGCGUUGUUCGGAUUUACUGGGCGUAAAGGGAGCGUAGGCGGUUAGGUAAGCCCUUUGGGAAAGCUCCCGGCUUAACCGGGAAAGGUCGAAGGGGACUACCUGGCUAGAGGGUGGGAGAGGAGCGCGG